rfam:Nestor notabilis contig1787, whole genome shotgun sequence.
UGAUCUUGGAAAUCAAGUAUAGGUAGAGCCUGUGGGUGCAAUUCCAGGCGACCCAUACUUGGUUUCCAGGGUGU